rnacentral:rRNA from 1 species
CGAAGCUCUGAACUUAAGCCCCAGUAAACGGCGGCCGUAACUAUAACGGUCCUAAGGUAGCGAAAUUCCUUGUCGGGUAAGUUCCGACCCGCACGAAAGGUGUAACGAUUUGGGCACUGUCUCAACAAAGGAUCCGGUGAAAUUGUAGUAUGCGUGAAGAUGCGCAUUACCCGCGACAGGACGGAAAGACCCCGUGGAGCUUUACUGCAGGCUGACAUUGGAUCUCGGCAUUGCAUGUACAGGAUAGGUGGGAGACUAAGAAGCCAGGGCGCCAGUCUUGGUGGAGUCGACCUUGGGAUACCACUCUUGUAAUGCUGAGAUUCUAACCUGGUAUCAUGAAACUGGUACAGGGACACUGUCAGUUGGGCAGUUUGACUGGGGCGGUCGCCUCCUAAAAAGUAACGGAGGCGCUCAAAGGUUUCCUCAGCACGGUCGGAAAUCGUGCGAAGAGUGCAAAGGCAAAAGGAAGCUUAACUGUGACACCAACAAGUGGAGCAGAUACGAAAGUAGGACUUAGUGAUCCGGUGGUUCCGAGUGGAAGGGCCAUCGCUCAACGGAUAAAAGCUACCCCGGGGAUAACAGGCUUAUCUCCCCCAAGAGUCCACAUCGACGGGGAGGUUUGGCACCUCGAUGUCGGCUCGUCUCAUCCUGGGGCUGAAGUAGGUCCCAAGGGUUGGGCUGUUCGCCCAUUAAAGAGGCACGCGAGCUGGGUUCAGAACGUCGUGAGACAGUUCGGUCCCUAUCCGUCGUGGGCGUAGGAAAUUUGAGAGGAGCUGUCCUUAGUACGAGAGGACCGGGAUGGACAAACCGCUGGUGUAUCAGUUGUUCUGCCAAGAGCAUAGCUGAGUAGCUAAGUUUGGAAGGGAUAAGUGCUGAAGGCAUCUAAGCACGAAGCCCCCCUCAAGAUAAGAUUUCCCAUUACG